rnacentral:rRNA from 1 species
AAUACGUUCCCGGACCUUGUACACACCGCCCGUCAAGCCAUGGAAGCUGGGGGGACCUGAAGACAGUUGCCGCAAGGCGCUGUUUAGGGUUAAACUGGUAACUAGGGCU